rnacentral:rRNA from 1 species
CCUACGGGAGGCAGCAGUGAGGAAUAUUGGUCAAUGGACGAGAGUCUGAACCAGCCAAGUAGCGUGAAGGAUGACUGCCCUAUGGGUUGUAAACUUCUUUUAUCUGGGAGUAAAAUGUUCCACGUGUGGGCUUUUGUAUGUACCUUAUGAAUAAGGAUCGGCUAACUCCGUGCCAGCAGCCGCGGUAAUACGGAGGAUCCGAGCGUUAUCCGGAUUUAUUGGGUUUAAAGGGAGCGUAGGUGGAUUGUUAAGUCAGUUGUGAAAGGUUGCGGCUCAACCGUAAAAUUGCGGUUGAAACUGGCAGUCUUGAGGACAGUAGAGGUGGGCGGAAUUCGUGGUGUAGCGGUGAAAUGCUUAGAUAUCACGCAGAAGUCCGAUUGCGAAGGCAGCUCACUGGACUGCAACUGACACUGAGGCUCGAAAGUGUGGGUAUCAAACAGGAUUAGAUACCCCAGUAGUC